ACCGAUCAAGCACAAAAUGGCUGCUUGCGUUACGGUUUGUUCCUGUACCGUGCCGUGAGGAGAUCUAAACAGUAACUGCACCCGGAGAAAGUUGCAUGAAUGGGUUUUCGGACAGGGGUUCGACUCCCCUCACCUCCACCA
rnacentral:tmRNA from 1 species